rnacentral:rRNA from 1 species
UAUUGGACAAUGGGCGCAAGCCUGAUCCAGCCAUGCCGCGUGAGUGAUGAAGGCCUUCGGGUUGUAAAGCUCUUUUGGCGGGGACGAUGAUGACGGUACCCGCAGAAUAAGCACCGGCUAACUACGUGCCAGCAGCCGCGGUAAUACGUAGGGUGCAAGCGUUAAUCGGAAUUACUGGGCGUAAAGCGUGCGCAGGCGGUUAUACAAGACAGGCGUGAAAUCCCCGGGCUUAACCUGGGAAUGGCGCCUGUGACUGUAUAGCUAGAGUGUGUCAGAGGGGGGUAGAAUUCCACGUGUAGCAGUGAAAUGCGUAGAUAUGUGGAGGAAUACCAAUGGCGAAGGCAGCCCCCUGGGAUAACACUGACGCUCAUGCACGAAA